GAAAUGCGAUAAGUAGUGUGAAUUGCAGAAUUCAGUGAAUCAUCGAAUCUUUGAACGCACAUUGCGCCUCCCGGCAUUCCGGGAGGCAUGCCUGUUCGAGCGUCAUCAAAAACCAUCGUGCAAAUGAAUUUUUUUUUUCGUUUUGCGCGGACGUGACGGUCGUGCGAUUGUUUUUUUCGCACCCCGUCGAAAUGAAUCCGGGCGGAACUUGGGAUCGGGCUCCUCGGCGUAAUGUACCAACGCAUCUUCAUGCGACUUGCCGCGGAGUUGAGCCUGACCCACGCGUUCUCGCCGUACAAAACCCCCAUUUCUUUACAAGUUUUUGACCUCGGAUCAGGUAGGGAUACCCGCUGAACUUAA
rnacentral:misc_RNA from 1 species